UGGCCGGGCGACGGUUGUCCCGGUUUAAGCGUGUAGGCUGGUUUUCCAGGCAAAUCCGGAAAAUCAAGGCUGAGGCGUGAUGACGAGGCACUACGGUGCUGAAGCAACAAAUGCCCUGCUUCCAGGAAAAGCCUCUAAGCAUCAGGUAACAUCAAAUCGUACCCCAAACCGACACAGGUGGUCAGGUAGAGAAUACCAAGGCGCUUGAGAGAACUCGGGUGAAGGAACUAGGCAAAAUGGUGCCGUAACUUCGGGAGAAGGCACGCUGAUAUGUAGGUGAAGUCCCUUGCGGAUGGAGCUGAAAUCAGUCGAAGAUACCAGCUGGCUGCAACUGUUUAUUAAAAACACAGCACUGUGCAAACACGAAAGUGGACGUAUACGGUGUGACGCCUGCCCGGUGCCGGAAGGUUAAUUGAUGGGGUCAGCGCAAGCGAAGCUCUUGAUCGAAGCCCCGGUAAACGGCGGCCGUAACUAUAACGGUCCUAAGGUAGCGAAAUUCCUUGUCGGGUAAGUUCCGACCUGCACGAAUGGCGUAAUGAUGGCCAGGCUGUCUCCACCCGAGACUCAGUGAAAUUGAACUCGCUGUGAAGAUGCAGUGUACCCGCGGCAAGACGGAAAGACCCCGUGAACCUUUACUAUAGCUUGACACUGAACAUUGAGCCUUGAUGUGUAGGAUAGGUGGGAGGCUUUGAAGUGUGGACGCCAGUCUGCAUGGAGCCGGCCUUGAAAUACCACCCUUUAAUGUUUGAUGUUCUAACGUGGACCCGUGAUCCGGGUUGCGGACAGUGUCUGGUGGGUAGUUUGACUGGGGCGGUCUCCUCCUAAAGAGUAACGGAGGAGCACGAAGGUUGGCUAAUCCUGGUCGGACAUCAGGAGGUUAGUGCAAUGGCAUAAGCCAGCUUGACUGCGAGCGUGACGGCGCGAGCAGGUGCGAAAGCAGGUCAUAGUGAUCCGGUGGUUCUGAAUGGAAGGGCCAUCGCUCAACGGAUAAAAGGUACUCCGGGGAUAACAGGCUGAUACCGCCCAAGAGUUCAUAUCGACGGCGGUGUUUGGCACCUCGAUGUCGGCUCAUCACAUCCUGGGGCUGAAGUAGGUCCCAAGGGUAUGGCUGUUCGCCAUUUAAAGUGGUACGCGAGCUGGGUUUAGAACGUCGUGAGACAGUUCGGUCCCUAUCUGCCGUGGGCGCUGGAGAACUGAGGGGGGCUGCUCCUAGUACGAGAGGACCGGAGUGGACGCAUCACUGGUGUUCGGGUUGUCAUGCCAAUGGCACUGCCCGGUAGCUAAAUGCGGAAGAGAUAAGUGCUGAAAGCAUCUAAGCACGAAACUUGCCCCGAGAUGAGUUCUCCCUGACCCUUUAAGGGUCCUGAAGGAACGUUGAAGACGACGACGUUGAUAGGCCGGGUGUGUAAGCGCAGCGAUGCGUUGAGCUAACCGGUACUAAUGAACCGUGAGGCUUAACCUUACAACGCCGAAG
rnacentral:rRNA from 1 species